AUACGUAGGGUGCGAGCGUUGUCCGGAAUUACUGGGCGUAAAGAGCUCGUAGGUGGUUUGUCGCGUCGUCUGUGAAAUUCCGGGGCUUAACUCCGGGCGUGCAGGCGAUACGGGCAUAACUUGAGUACUGUAGGGGAGACUGGAAUUCCUGGUGUAGCGGUGAAAUGCGCAGAUAUCAGGAAGAACACCGGUGGCGAAGCCGGGUCUCUGGGCAGUAACUGACGCUGAGGAGCGAAAGCAUGGGUAGCGAACAGGAUUAGAUACCCUGGUAGUCCAUGCCGUAAACGGUGGGCGCUAGGUGUAGGGGUCUUCCACGACUUCUGUGCCGUAGCUAACGCAUUAAGCGCCCCGCCUGGGGAGUACGGCCGCAAGGCUAAAACUCAAAUGAAUUGACGGGG
rnacentral:rRNA from 1 species